rnacentral:tRNA from 1 species
GUGGCUCAGUGGUAGAGCGCUUGCCUUGCAUGCAUGAGGCUCUGGGUUCGACCCAGC